rnacentral:rRNA from 1 species
CCUACGGGAGGCAGCAGUGAGGAAUAUUGGUCAAUGGGAGAGAUCCUGAACCAGCCAAGCCGCGUGAGGGAAGACGGCCCUAUGGGUUGUAAACCUCUUUUGUCGGAGAACAAAACCCGGGACGUGUCCCGGACUGCGUGUAUCCGAAGAAAAAGCAUCGGCUAACUCCGUGCCAGCAGCCGCGGUAAUACGGAGGAUGCGAGCGUUAUCCGGAUUUAUUGGGUUAAAAGGGUGCGUAGGCGGUUCGUUAAGUCAGCGGUAAAAUGGCGGGGCUCAACCCCGUAGUGCCGUUGAAACUGGUAGACUUGAGUUGGCGAGAAGUACGCGGAAUGCGCGGUGUAGCGGUGAAAUGCAUAGAGAGCGCGCAGAACUCCGAUUGCGAAGGCAGCGUACCGGCGCCAGACUGACGCUGAGGCACGAAAGCGUGGGGAUCGAACAGGAUUAGAUACCCCUGUAGUC